AUGUGGUCUGCUGGAAAAAUGUUAAAAAAAAUAAAGCCGCUCCAAACCCCCGGGCCCGCGUCGGUGAGCCAGCUCCGGCAAGGUGCAGGCUGGGCGGGGUGGGGGCGACGCGGCCGGCGCCCGCGGGCCACCGCGGACCUUGACCGCCGGGCGGGGUGGGGCGUAGGUGUGGUGGGAGCGCGGGGGCCCCGGGGGAGGGGGCGGGCGCGCGGCGCGGGGCCGCGCGGGCCGUGCAGGAGUGCGCCCCGGCGGGCGGGCGCGGCUCGGGGGCGCGGGGUCGGGCUGCCGCGGCGGGCGGGGUCGGGCGCUGGGCGGGAGCGCACCGUGCACGCGGCGGGGAACCGACUCAAAGUGAAACACUCCCAGGCGUCUGCGGCCGACGCAGCCCGAGGGGGCGGACGCAGCCCCUCCGGCGGCGCGGGGUCCCGGCUGAGCUCGCGCUCGCUCCCGGCCCCUCCCCUGCGCCGCUCCCGGAGCUCCGCACCCCAGGCUCCGGGGCUUCGGGACCGGGGUCGCCUCCCGGCUCCAAUUCCGUCCUGGAAUCCGCCGCCGCGGGGAUGGGGGCCGGCGGUCGAACUUCAGCGCCAGAGGCCUGGGCCCCCCUUCCUUCCGGCCAGCGCACCCCCCCCCCCCUCGGUACGUGCACAGGGCGUCGGAAAAAAGUCCCUGGGUGCCUUAUUAAUGACACAGGCAGGCAAAAAAACAGGCGCUGCCCAGAAUCCCGACCCUGGUGGAGGAAAGUCCGCAGACCAGGCAGCUGGCAGGGCAAAAAGAAGUCUUGGGGGGAAGGUGUCAAAAAUCUUGGGGAGGCCCAGGCCCUGGAGACAUCUCAGCUACCAUGGCUGCGGUUCUGGGAAUGGGGUAGACAAAUUCUCGGCCUGGUGGCCCUGCUCAGCGAGGUGUGAAGACCGCUGGGCCAGAGGUGGGGGCUGGAGCUCAGAGCCACAGGAUCCCCCCGCUGCAAGCAACUGUUCAGACCCGGGGCGGCCAGGUGGCACCUCUGACUCCCAGCCCAAACCUGAUGCCAGUGUCCACUUCUCCCUGUCGCUCCCUCGCGACCCCGCCCUUCUCAAGACUUGGUGUCCCUCUGCAAGUGUGAGAAGAGGUCGGCUCACCUCUUCCGCUUUGGCUUAUGUAUUUUAA
rnacentral:lncRNA from 1 species